rnacentral:rRNA from 1 species
GUAAGGAAUAUUGGUCAAUGGGGGCAACCCUGAACCAGCCAUGCCGCGUGAAGGAUGAAGGCGUUAUGCGUUGUAAACUUCUUUUGUAUGGGAAGAAUGACAGGGAUUCAUCCUUGGAGAGACGGUACCAUACGAAUAAGCACCGGCUAACUCCGUGCCAGCAGCCGCGGUAAUACGGUGGGUGCAAGCGUUAUCCGGAAUCACUGGGUUUAAAGGGUACGUAGGCGGUUAAUUAAGUCAGUAGUGAAAGACUGUCGCUCAACGACGGAUGUGAUAUUGAUACUGGUUAACUUGAAUGAGGUUAGAGUUGGCGGAAUGGGUGAUGUAGCGGUGAAAUGCUUAGAUAUGACUUGGCACACCGAUAGCGAAGGCAGCUGACUGAGCCUUGAUUGGCGCUGAGGUACGAAAGUGUGGGUAGCGAACAGGAUUAGAUACCCUAGUAGUCC